AUUGAACGCUGGCGGCAGGCCUAACACAUGCAAGUCGAGCGGAGCGGCGGACGGGUGGGUAAUGCCUAGGAAUCUGCCUGGUAGUGGGGGAUACCUUCGGGGAAGGGGCGCCAAUACCGCAUACUAGCAGAUGAGCCUAGGUGGGCUUAGCUAGUUGGGGGGGUAAAGGCCUACCAAGGCGACGAUCCGUAACUGGUCUGAGAGGAUGAUCAGUCACACUGGAACUGAGACACGGUCCAGACUCCUACGGGAGGCAGCAGUGGGGAAUAUUGGACAAUGGGCGAAAGCCUGAUCCAGCAAUGCCGCGUGUGUGAAGAAGGUCUUCGGAUUGUAAAGCACUUUAAGUUGGGAGGCGGUACCAACAGAAUAAGCACCGGCUAACUACGUGCCAGCAGCCGCGGUAAUAC
rnacentral:rRNA from 1 species